UACAGAGGGUGCAAGCGUUGUUCGGAAUCAUUGGGCGUAAAGCGCACGUAGGCGGCUUGUUAAGUCGGAUGUGAAAGCCCCAGGCUCAACCUGGGAAGUGCAUUCGAAACUGGCGAGCUUGAAUGUCGGAGAGGGCAGUGGAAUUCCGAGUGUAGAGGUGAAGUUCGUAGAUAUUCGGAGGAACACCAGUGGCGAAGGCGACUGCCUGGACGAACAUUGACGCUGAGGUGCGAAAGCGUGGGGAGCAAACAGG
rnacentral:rRNA from 1 species